GUAGCCGGAGCUGGAAGCUCCAAGAUUCUAAGUCUUCAUCUCUCGCAUCCGUUGCUUCUCCUAUGAGAACGUCGACGUCGUCUCCGGUGAAGAAGGCGUGGGUUUCACUCAAUCUUCAAGGUCAGAUUUUAAUGGUUUCGUUUUCACAAAGAUUUAAACAUUUUUUUGGGUUUAAGUUGUUGGAAACUAUCACUGAUCAGUUUGAGACAGGACAACUCUAGUUCUGUUCUUGUUAUAGCCUUUGAUUGUAAAUGAAAUUUUGAUCAAAGAAGUUGAUGGUUACAAAUUAGGUGUAGUUAGAGAACGUGUGCCGGUGCAAUCAUAUUCACAUGUUAUGUUAUGUAUUGAGCUUAUGUUGACUAGUGUUGUAUGUUAUAGGAGCACUAGCUGUCAGAGACUCAGAGUGAUGAUGGGAAUAUAUAGGAUACUCAAAGAGAAACUAUAUAUGUAGAAAACAAUAGCUCUGUGUAUGAGCUAAUAUCAUUUUAUAAUGUCAACAUCA
rnacentral:lncRNA from 1 species